rnacentral:rRNA from 1 species
UUCGUAGGGUGCGAGCGUUAAUCGGAAUUACUGGGCGUAAAGCGUGCGCAGGCGGCUAUUUAAGCUUGCUGUGAAAGCCCCGGGCUUAACCUGGGAACUGCAGUGAGGACUGGAUGGCUGGAGUGUGGCAGAGGGGGUGGAAUUCCACGUGUAGCGGUGAAAUGCGUAGAGAUGUGGAGGAACACCAGUGGCGAAGGCGGAUCUCUGGGCCGAUACUGACGCUGAGGAGCGAAAGCGUGGGGAGCGAACAGG